GACGAACGCUGGCGGCGUGCUUAACACAUGCAAGUCGAACGAUGAAGAAAAGAAUCGAAGCUUCGGCAGAAAUUCAUUUCGGAUUAGUGGCAGACGGGUGAGUAACGCGUGAGCAACCUACCUCUUACAAAGGGAUAGCCUCGGGAAACCGGGAUUAAUACCAUAUAACAUUGCGACGAAGCAUUUCGAUGCAAUCAAAGCUACGGCGGUAAGAGAUGGGCUCGCGUCCCAUUAACCGGAUGGUGAGGUAACGGCUCACCAUAGUGACGAUGGGUAACCGGACUGAGAGGGUGAACGGUCACACUGGAACUGAGACACGGUCCAGACUCCUACGGGAGGCAGCAGUGGGGAAUAUUGCACAAUGGAGGGAACUCUGAUGCAGCGACGCCGCGUGAGUGAUGAAGGAAUUCGUUUCGUAAAACUCUGUUCUAUGGGAAGAAAAGGACUGUACCAUAGGAGAAAGCUCCGGCUAAAUACGUG
rnacentral:rRNA from 1 species